GAAAGGGCCUCCAGAUUGUGAAACAGGCGGAAGAGGAACAAUGUUAGUUCCCUGAAAGCCCCCGGCCCAGGCCACAAGGCCGCCCUGCCCUCUGCCACAUGGCAGCCUACAUGGGAAACCCUUCCCGGCCCUUCCCUGCCUGUCCUCCCCCACCUCCUCCUCCUCCUCCUCUCCCGGAACACACAGGCACUAGUUAUUAGGGAUUAGGUGGAACAGAUGCAUGUAAGAUGCUUACUGCCUUUUCCAGACACAAGGCCACUUUCCAAUCAGCUCAGAGGAAACAGGGAGGCAGCUGAUGCCGGCCGGCUGGCUGCCAAGCAGGUCAGGCCUCUGCAGCUGAAACUGCCCGAGAUUCCAGAGCGGGAUGAUGAAUCAGCUGCGUCCUUUAGGGCACAUCCUCUCUUGGACGUGCCGCUGGGAUGUCGUGUCUCUCCGCCGCUUCCCCGUGGUGAGAGUGUGCUCAGAGCUGCUGGCUGAUGACACUGGGAAGUGGGAUGGUGAGAGGAGAAGAGACUUGGCUCUUCCUAUCCAUGCUGAUGAAUGGAGCCAGGCUUUCUUUGGGCUGCAAGUGAAUUCACCGGGCCAGAUGCUCAGGCCAAGCCCCAGGGCUGGUUGUUCCUAGGAAGGAAAGGUAGAAGAUUCCCAAGGUAGUCUUUUUUUGUUUCUUUAUUUUGUGUUAUAGUGAAGUUCCUGUCUCAAAAGUGAUGCUUGUAUUUUAGUCUCCUUUUUCAGUGCUGCCCCCUAAGCCAGAGGAUACAAGAAGGGAGCGUCAUUUUUAUGACAACAAGGAUGCAUCCUUUGCAAUUGUGACUCCCUUUGUCUGGAAUGUGGGAUGCUGUGGCUGUCCUGCUGUGUUUUCUGUCUUUUCUGGGACAGCUGAAGUGAGUACCACAGUAACAGACAGCCAGACAUAUGCUCAUGGCCUGGAAUGAAGUCGACUGCAAUUACAUCCUGAGGGAGUCACUCAACGGGGGUUUGUGGAGGCAGGACGCAGGCUCUGGUGGAGCUGCACAUGUGCUGUUGGACCUCCAACUGCACUCGCUCUGCCUUCAGCUUUGUGGGAGCGAGGAGCAGCAGGCUCAGAAAUACAGCCAGUCUGGUGCACAUCUGGAGGCAGUAAUUGGAGGUAAAGUGUGCACCUUCUGUUCUCGAUUCAAUGAGGUGUUUUCCUGCAUUAGUGAUUUCAGCGCAUCAGCACCAAAAUUCAUCCUUUUAAACACACUUGCUCCCCAUCUCCCAUGCUCUGUGCUGGUCUGAACCUUCUUCAAGCAUUAAGGUGUUGGGAGCUGGGUUGCAGGGUCAGGCCUCUCUCCUGUAAGGCUCCUUGUGCUUUACUUCCUUUAUCUCCAAGAGCAGCCAGAAGCACAUGCUGUGGCAACAUAAUCAUUUAAUCCAGGCUGGUGAAACCUGUUCUCCAGAUGAACAACUGACAGAUCGUUUGCUCUGUAGCUCUGCAUAUGAAUGCAAUGUUUGUUGGGGUGGAUGGAUGCCGGUGCCAGUUUUCCACUCCAGUUUCCAACAAAACCAAGCAGCAGCCUGACCGUGAAUCUGCUUCCAGCUCCUUCCUCUGCUCCCUGCAACAUCCUUGCUGCAGCCACAUUAGUGCUGGGGCUCUCCCUCCCUGGCUGCUGGUGUGGAUGCAGUAGGUCCACAGAUUCCUGGCAGGAGGACGCAGCCCUCAGAGGAGUGCAGCAGGCCUGUGGCGCCCGGGAUAGGAACGUGUUUGCCUGGGGAGGCAGGUGAUACCUGAAAGGGUGCAGCCAAAACUAACAAAGGUGUGUUCAGAGAUAGAUACAGUUUGAUCUUUAGCCUCUGAUACAAACCUUGCCUUGGCUGGGGAAGGGUGUAACAGCCUGGCGGAUUGCUGGUGAUUCCAGCAGUGGGUUGGAGUGAGGACAUGUGCUGCUGCCUCCCUUGCAACUGCUGUGAGUUAGCAGGGACAAGGGAGAGGUGCACCCCCUGUUUUAGGCCUCUGAAGUCCACAGGUCUGAAUGUCAGAUAUGAGGAGAUGGUGCUCUUAUAGUCUCAUGUGCAGUAAUGGAGUUACAGAGUGCCUUGGGUUGGAAGGGACCUUAAAGUUCAUCAAGGUCCAGGCCCCCCUGCCAUGGGCAGGGACACCUUCCACUAGACCAGGAGUGGAGCAUCUGCAACUUGUCUGAACAACCUGUUCCAGUGUCUCACCACACUCACAGCAAAGAAUUUCUUCCUAGUAUCUAAUCUAAAUCUACUUUCAGUUUAAAGUCAUUACCUCUUGUCCCAUCACGACAUGCUCUUGUCAAAAGAGCAGAGCCAGUGGUUCAUUGCACAUUGUGCAAAUGCAUGUGCUUAUGUAGGUUUUCUGAGUGCCCAGAAAAUCUGUCAUCUCCUAAGUGCUGGAGGUACUUCUGGUGAGCAGCCUGUCCUGCUCUGCUGCGGUCCUUGUUUGCUGCUUCUCUGGUUUCAGGGUCCAUCCCUUCCAGAUUUUGUAAUGCAAGCAGCAGCUGACACUCUCACGGCCCAGCUGAUGGCUUGGUGGUGGCACGAAACCAGAGAGGGCUGUGGUGUGCACUGGUGGCAGCCACUGCUCUGACAAACAGCAUUAGAAACUUACCAGGUGAAUAUGCAUUGCUUUUGCUGAUGUAUUCUUUAUUUUUGGCUUAAGGAGCAAACUGAGUGCUGAGACUUUACCAGGGCCAGUUUAAGCCUCUUGAACUGCCUGAUCUGCUUGCAGUGCCUCUGAGGAUGGAGAGCUGAAAGAAGCUGCUUGCACUCAGAUUGCAAUCCAGAUGACUUUUUUGAGAAGAGCAUGUGUUAAAUGUUUUUGGGGCCAGCACUGUGAGGUUGGCCCAACCUCCAGAAACACUUUCCAAAACUUGUUGUUCAGAAUAGUGUGCUCUAAAUAUGCACUGCUUCCCCCCUGCACUAGCUGGUCUGACCUACUGUCACCAUACAACAGGGUUUUUCUUUCAGCUCAGAAGAGAUUCAUAUUAAGAUCAGUAUUACUUGCACAGUGAAACAGCUCCUUUUUCUUCCUUGUUCCCUGUUACACACCUCCAAUGCCUGUCUCUGUGCUAGAUGAGAGCCUGUGGGGAGUUCAGGGAGUGCAGGUCUGGGCCGUGUAUCACCCUGUCACCAGGACCAAGCUGGGAGAGGUCAGUACAUGUGCACAGCUCGGAGCAAUGUGUGCUGUGCUUGGGAAGGGGGUGGGGGAUGGGAGGUUUGAAACCCUCACUGGUAUUUUAUCUUCAGUUUAGCAUGGCUCAGGUUUGUCAGCAAAACACCAUGGUCCUGAAAUGUCAAGCCUGAGGCAGAACUGGGAAAAGAACAACUUAGAACUCCUGGGUUUCUGUCUAGGGCUUUGGACACAGCUUCAGCCAAAGGUUCCCCCUUCCUGAAAGGAGAGGGAUGUCAAAGUGUAAUGUUUACAUCAGUUGUGUGAAGUCCACUCAGAUCUAUUCAACCCCCUGCCUCUGCAUAACUUUUUUUGGCAAGCAUUAACUAAUAAGGAAGGGAGUAAAUCUUGCUUGAAGUUAUUUUUCUUCCUGCUCCUGUGUCCCACCCCCAGGCACCCCAUGGCAGGUGCUACAGAGGCGAAAACCAGAGCUCCUGCAGAGACAGAUUAGCAGCACACAAAAUGAUCUCUCUCGUCCUUGUGCACCCCAGAGCCCGGAAACUCCCCCAUCUCUCCAGCCUUGCAGCCCAGCUGUCCCAAACCCCAGACAGCAGGGAUGGAUAACAGCAGGCUGCUCUCUGUGCUGCAGCCCAGGCGAUGGGGAAGAUAAUGGGAAUCAUUUCUUGGUACAAGUACAAGCAUGAAUCCUCUGAAGAAAUACUAAAUCUAGUUGCGGUGGGGAAAAAAAGAAAAAUAAAGCAAAUGCACACACUUGCACACACACAACCUCGACCUCACGUAACGUUGAAGGGUUUGGUUCUGACUUUUUUUCUCAGCUGCUGGUCCUUGAACUCCUCCCAGUGUGGCUCCACCGCUGGAGCAACAGCUGGCGUGCUGAGGUGCAGUGCAGGGCUGCCAGCUCUCCUCACUGCAGAUCAAGCCUUGCACUCUGUUACUGGGGGAUUUCCUUGAAGCCCUCAUGCCUCUUUGCCAGAGCGCUCGGAUUGUGUGAGAAUUGUGCCUUUUGACGGAAGAAAAAGGGGUGUGGGGGGAAAGCUAAUUAAGAAAAUGUUUUUAGCACUACACUCAGGAUUGUGUAGGAAAAUUAACAAAUAGGAAAUGCGUGUGACCUACAGUGAGUAAAAUAAUAAUCUUUUUGCCCUGAGCAGGGCUGUAUGAGCUGUUUGGAUGACACGUGAUGGAGCAGGGGUGUGGAAGAAAAUGGAGCCCUGCUCAGUGCUGCAGGCCUUUUGCCACUGCAACUGAAAGAGUAAAAACUUAUUUUGCCACUCUGGAUGCUAACUCAUGGUAGGUAAUUGCUUUAGCUAUGGCAAACGAAGCCCAAGGAAGGGUCCAUCACAGAUUAACUCCUAAGACUUAGGGUGUUUUGCUAAGCGAGGUGCCAGACCUGUCUGUGGAAAUCUUGUUCUUGAAUUAUUAUUCCUUUUAAAUCUUAGACUGUGCCUGCAAAGAUGAAGUGUUUCCUAGCCUCACUUUUCAGUAUUGCUAUUCUUUCCAUCCUCUAUUGCUUCCACAGUGGGUACAGAGACAUGAGCUUUCAAUACCUGCAAAUUUCCAUCUGGUUUGUUAGCAGCACUCCUCAUUAAGGGGAUUAUAAAAAAUUGGAGAUGCUACAGGUAAGCACCCAAACAGUAAUCCUGGCUUCCACAAUAAGGCAGUGUGUUUUGUGUGGUUAGAGCAGCAGGAACAGGACUCAUGAGUGACAGAGCAAAAAAUCAGUGAUUUCUGUUUGGCAGGAGAUACUUAAAAACUUUGUCAAGUUAGGCAAGUAUCUCCAUUGUGGUCUCUGACUCACAAUUCAAGUAUGCUGGGAACAUUUGAGGGGGCUGGGUCAGUUCUUUAAGCAGUGGGAAAACAAGGCUUUAAUGCAUCACGGCAUAACUUUGGGUCUGUGCUCUACUGUUCUGCCUUUCUUUGAGGAAACUGGUGUGGCUGGUGGUGGGGAGAGGGAGGUGUUGUGAAACCACACAUCCACACACACUCACAUGUGAUUUUAAUCCCUCCUAACAGUGUUUCAGACUCAUUUGACUGUGGUGGCUGAGCUGAGCCACUUAUCACUUGCCCUCCUGAAGGUGAACAGAGGACAAGACUGUGUGAUGGGGCUGGUGGCAACUCGGUUUCAUCCUCUGCAGCAGCAGCCUGGCUGAGGUAAAGGUCUUUGCUCGUGGUUGUUAUUGGUUCCAUAUUUACUUGGGAUCUUUGCAUGCAGAGGAUGGCUUUUGGCUUGUGAAGAGGAACUUCUCCGAGGCUGGACCGUUUCCCCUCAUGGGAAGCCUCUCCAAGAUUGCGUGUACUGCUCAGAAAGGCUGCUAGGGGCAAGGUGCUUUUCUGCAUCUAACAGAACAUUCUGAAAGCUCAUUAAUAAAAGCCAGAUAAAAUAAAGCUUGCAAAGUCAACAUGUUGAAGAAGAUAUGCCGUUCUGGGAAACAAGUGGAGAGGAGGUGUGUAUUUAUGUGGACAAAAGAAGCCCAAACUGUAAACCAUAAUAUAUCUGUGAGCUCAUUAAUGUGUCUGAUGCUGACUAAUUCCAGGAGUGUUCCUGCUGCCCAGCAGCAAAAGUGCAAAUAAGUGGACAGCUGUGAUUUAGUGCCAAAUAUUUGAACACAUCGUGACAAUUCAGGCCACCCACUCUUUUAAGUGAAUACAACUUCUGGAGAAUAAUUUCAAACUGGGCUGAAGUGCAGAGCAGCCACUUUCAUGUGCAUCUCAGCCAAAUGGCCCUCAAGUAUUUGGGGCCAAACUUUGCCUUCUGUUACACCCCGGGGGUGCUCAUUCACUCCAGGGUUUGCACUAUGUAGCUGAGGGGCAGAGCUGACUCUUGAUGCUAAUCUGACUUUUUCUAGCUCAGUAAGUACAAUUUCACAUGUAAAUGUAAAUGUGGAACAGAUCUGGACUCGAUUAGCUCCUGAAUCCUUGACAAAAAGCCAUAAUUGUUUAUCCAGAUGAUGUUUCUUUCUCUCUCUUUUAUUUUCUCUACACUUUAAACCCAAGUUUUUAAUGGGCUUGUGAAAUAAAUACAUGAGUGUAGAUUAGAGUGGUAUCAAAGGUAUGAGGGAAGCCCUUCCCUUCUCCUCAGCAGGACUAAAUGAUCACUUGGUGCACACUUCAGUUGUGCUCUCCAGAGCCUUGGGCAGGGGUGGCUGCGGAUCUGACUGACGGUGGGAGGGAGGGUAUUUCCAAGACAACACUUAGCCCGGGGCUCUCAUUACAGAUGUGAAGGACCUGUGAUAUAUAUCUUUUUUUUUUUUUUCCUGGUAGGCAGUGAAAUCUGUGCUAGUGGCUAUAUCUGGGGCACAGGGUUGUUGGGGGAGGAGAAAAGCAAGGGAAUAUGGAAAAAAAAAUGUAUUUAUCAGGGUAAUCUAGUUUAGGAGCACAAGUACUAAAACAUUUUAAUCACAGUCAUACGGCUGUGUGUCACUUCAGGGCAGAAUUAAGGCUAUUUGUAUUCCUUGGUAGCACACUGCCACACUUCAACAAGUUUGAAUUUAUUUUAAGCAUAACUUUAACUCUGAAUUCCCUGGGUUUGUAAUGUCUGGUCUGGAAAUAAAUGCAACCUCUUUAUAUUGUACUUUACUCUUAAAAUAGGCUUUCUACUUUAGUUCCAUUUCUGUUGGCUCGGCAAGAGCAUGGGCUGUCAUUUCCUGCCCUGCUGGGCUUGCUGUUUAAAUGGAGAGGGCGGUGUAUCUGAAUAAAGGAACAGAGCAGUAAAAGCUGGGAUGGGAGAGGGAUGGCACUCCCGGGGCAGCUGUGCCACAGCUCAGUUAUUGCUUUAACUGCCCAUGCCUGACUAUCUCCUGCAUGAAUGUGUGGCUACCUUUGGCACAGACAUGCUUUCCUUGGGGGUAGAAGGAGCUCAUAAGGGGUCAAAGUUUCAAAUUUGGUUUCAUGCUGAGGAAGUGACAUGAUGAUCUCAGCUCCUAAUAAGGCCACUGGAAUUGUGGGAUGAUGUUCAGCUCACACCAGGUUGCUUGUGAGCUUGGCUGACACUUUUGGAGCUGUGUGCUGUAGGUCUUCAUGUGCCACAA